CUCAAAUAGCGCAAAAGAUUGAACUAACAGAUAAACUGUUUGGACUGCAAAAUCAAAGAAGAGCACUACCACAGAAGGUUAAAGAUUAUAGACAGUCAACAAUACAAAAUCUUCAGCUGGCUCUUUACUACAGCAGCAAAGAUGAUGUUCUGAAGAGUUGGUUUGGUGAAGAAAUAGAAAAUUGGCCAAAGGUGAUGAUAUCGGUGGGCUCUGAAUGUUUCUGGUUGGGAAGCUUGAUGGCAUUAAACAAUCCUCCACUUCAACCAGACUGGAAAAAUCAUGAUCCUGGACAUGAUCCUUUCAACAUUUUUCCACAUGGCAUAAGAGCAUCAUCUGGAAUGUAGCGGAAACAAAUUCCUUAAAGCCAUAAAAUCUGUCCUCUGUUUGAGAACCUUCGUCUGUCAUAAGUCUCAAAAUACUAUGCAACUCCAACUCUCUGUUUGUUUUAUGUAUUGUGUUAAAGACAUUUACAAAUGCAUCAGUUAAGAAGAAUUUGUUGGGCUUUUUUUUAGUUUGCAUAUUCUCCCUGUCCCUGUAUGGGUUUUUUUAUAGGUGCUUCUCUCUUCUCCCACAGUCCAAAGGAAAAGCCAAUUUUUAAAAUGGAUGUGAGUGUGAAUGGUUGUUGAUCUCUUUGUAAUGGCCCUGUGAUGGGCUUAUGACUUGUCCACUCAUGACCAAUGUCAGGUGGAACAGGUUUCAGUGGAAACUGAAUAAGUAGUUAGGAA